ensembl:lncRNA
GGCAUAUGGAGGUUCCCAGGCUAGGGGUCUAAUCGGAGCUGUAGCCACCAGCCUACACCAGAGCCACAGCAACUCGGGAUCCGAGCCGCGUCUGCAACCUACACCACAGCUCCAGGCAACGCCGGAUCCUUAACCCACUGAGCAAGGCCAGGGACCGAACCCGCAACCUCAUGGUUCCUAGUCGGAUAUGUUAACCACUGUGCCACGACGGGAACUCCACAGGAUGCUUUUAAAGACCAAAUGGGACAGUUCUCAGUGGCUACCACAGUGUCAUUAUAACCCGUGAAGGGGUAAAAGCACAGCUUCUAUUUUCCAUCUGUGCUCUUUGCGUGAUAGGACUGCACCAGCCCUCCUGGCAGUGCCUCUGUUUUAACUACAGCAAAUGAGAUGGAAAUGAAAGAAAGGCUGGCUGAGGAGAAGGGUGCUGGGGAGGAGCUUGCCCAAAGGAGCAGAGGUGGGAACUCUAAGCCAAGAGAGGAACAAGAGAGAAGCUGAGUCUAACUGCUAGACAGAAGGCAGGAGGAAUGUUCUAGAAGGUGGUGGAGCCAGGAGAGUCUGUACUUAGCCCCCGGGGCAGCUGUGUUGGGGAGUGGGGAGCAGGUGUCCAGCUCUGGCCUCACCGGGUAGGGGAGGGAAAGGAGGGGGUGUGGGCCUGAACGGAGGGAGGGAGUCUGAAGGAGGGAGAGGCCCAGGUAGGAGGAGAGGAAGCUGCUGAGGCCUCAGGCUUGUUCUCUGAAGGGGAGAACAUGAAAGCUGUCACCCCUGCUCCCCGCAAGCUGGACCCAGAUCAGCAUCUCAUGUGCACAAUUGCCAACAGACCCAUCAUGCCCUAGUACUUCCCAAAUUUGCCUUACCCUCCCUGGCAUGUUCAGGGACAAUCAUGUUUGCUACCCACACGAGGCUGUCUCCAGGUAAGAGGGAGCUCCCAAAUGCACGUACAGGGCACCUGGUUCUCCCGGGCCUCCCAUUAGCCCUACCUGCUCCUGAUCCCAGCAGCUCCCAAAGGGCAGAUGCACAGCGGGAAAGAGCCCGGUUCAAGUCGAGGUUUCAAAGUCCUUCUCCUUUGCUCACUUCCUCACGCACAAUUUUGAGCAGAUCCCUUUCGGAAACCUCAGUUUCAGCAUCUCUAAAAGGGCCAAUUAGGCCACCUACCCUUAGGAUUUUUGUGAGGCUUUCAUGUGAUAAUCAGUGCUUGCCAACUAUACAACACCAUGUAGAGAGCUCCCGUUGCGGCUCAGCGGAAACAAAACUGUCUGCUAUCCUUGAGGAUGCGGGUUCAAUCCCUGGACUCGCUCAGUGGGUCAAGAAUCCGGUAUUGCUGUGAGCUGUGGUGUAGGUCGCAGACACGACUCGGAUCUGGUAUUGCUGUGGCUGUGGCAUAGCCCAGCAGCUGCAGAACCGAUUUGCCCCCUAGCCUGGGAACUUCCAUAUGCCGCAGCCUCAGGUCCCAUCCUUGUAGGUUUUGUGCUGAACUCUCCCCAUCCCUCUCUAGAUACAUAUCACCCAAUCUUUUAUACCAACACUUUAUACCUAUUCAGCCAACAGACAACACAGGCUCUGGGGAGUCCUGAGUUAGAAUCCUGUCUCUGCUGUACACCUCUGAGGAUGCUGUACCCCUUUAUUUUUGACCACAUCUGUGGCAUGCAGAAGUUCCCAGGCCAGGGAUUGAACCCACAGCACAGCAGGGACCUGAGCCAUUGCAGUGACAACGGCAGAUCCUUAACCUGCUGAAACACCAGGGAACUCCUCUGCAAACUUUUCUUAACCAGCCUAAACACUCCUCAGCAUCUCAACCUCUACAACCACGCAAAGCUCAGUACUCAUCCGAGUUGUAUGGUCCAAUCAGGCAUCUUUUCUUUUGUUUCGGUCUUAACCCUACCCCAGCUUCUUGCCUCUCUUAGUUCUUUGUAUCAUGCUUUCUAUCCGGUUCUUGCUCCAGAAGCUCUGUAUUUAGGUUGCUGAU